CAACGUAACGUGACGAACCUGACGUCGCCAACUCCCGCAGCCGCGGGCUGACGCGAACGCACGUCGGAGUAUAACAGAGCCUUUACAGUUAUAAGGUGGCCACACACAGCACGCCGUCAAUAUUCGCUACAUUCAACAGGUGGUGACCUGUGGAACCCAGAGGAGUACCUUCUUGCUGAUCGCCACGUGUUGGGAGCGGCUAGAGAACGUCACUACAGUAUUCUGCAUGUUAUUCACCAGUUAUUUUUCCUUUCACGUCUGUUAUGCUUAACGAUUGUAGUCUACUUUGGAAUUCGUUCAAAGGGCACUUUUGGUAUUAACCCAGACCAUGGAAGCAAGGCUGAGAAAAAAAGCAAGGAAAGAGAACCCAAAAAUAUUCAGUUUGACGAAAAAAUCAUGGAUUCUGAAUGGAAUGUUUACAUUUUUGAACACCUAAAAAAGUACAAGAUGAAUCAAACUGCUACAAAGAGAUUAUGAUAAAGUUAUUUAUUGUGCCUGGAAUGGACAUAUGCCAAAUGCAGAAUCCAGGUGUGUGGAGAACUUUAAUAAAUAGCAGUAUUGCCCAUUUCCA
rnacentral:misc_RNA from 1 species